AUGCAGGACGUCUGACGGCGCCGAUUAAUAGUCUUUUGUAGGGUUGUUUGUGCUUUAUUUAUUUUUUUUUUCUCUUCCCUUUCGAAUUUAAUCAUGUUUUAUUAUAGAGCAGUGCAAGCAGGGUCGUGUGGGAGCACGCGGCGGACGUGUUGCGUUGUGCUUCACGUAUUUUUGUUAGUAAUGUUACUGUUGUGUUGUUUAAAUUUAAUGAAUAAAAAGUUUUUGGUUUAGUUAAGUUAGUCACUCAGUCAGUCAGUCAGUCAGUUAGUCAGUCAUGAGUUUCUUUUUUUGAUCAGGUCACCUAUCAAGGUUUAUUAAGUUUUAAUUACGUAAAUUCUAAUGCCGGUUUAAUGAUUAUUUAAUUAAUUUUGAAAAUUAUCAUAAUUAAAUUUUGGUUAAGAAACUAAGAGUUUGUGUGGAGUUUUGGUUUAGGAACGAUGUUAAAACUUGUGUUAAGUAAUGUUGUAGACAGUGCUUGUUGCGGGCGAGGAAAGUCAUUUGUCUUGGAGCGGUGACGAGCGGGACAAGUCAGCUGUGCGCUGACCUUGAGCGGUUUCCGGCCUGGCGCGACACGGCUCGGCACGGCGCGGCAAGAAUCGUUCCGGCCCGGUGUUUACCGGCCGGCUGGUCUUCCAAGGAUACAGAUAAGAGUUUCACAGUUAUUUUUUUAAUGAUUAAUUUUAUGUCCAUCAUUGAAUUCACCGUCUUUUUUUUUAUGAGUUAAUUUAAUAAUGUUGAGAGUAAUAAUUUUUAAUAGCAUUUAUUUAUUUGUCAUAAUUAUUUUUGUUUUGAUAAUAAUUAAUUUUUUUUGAACUUUUCUUUUCGAAUUGUAGGAGGUACACAGUAGGAUGGAUUAACUCUGAGAAAAGUGUGAGGUUUGUUUAUUUGUGUAUGUUAAGGGAAUGAACUCCAGGGGAACAGUCUUUGAGAUGAGAGAGUUGUUGUUAUUGUCCAGCCAGUGGAGCUGAGCUGGGACAAUUUGAGGUGUCCCUGGGAGAGUAGGGACGGUAGCGCAGACCCAUAGAAGAUGGGCUGGCUACUGGUUAAGGGUCGGGAGAACCCUGUGUUGUUAGUAGUUGGGGCAGGAGUUCCCCAUGGUAGUACCGAAGUGGCUAUCCCGUAUGGGAUAAGGGUACCACUUCAAUUAAUUUGGUUGGUGGGGUUAGAGUCCCCUGUUGUGUAGUGGGCCUAUAGGAGAUAGGCACUACAGCGAAAUUUUUGGUUGUCCUGGAGGUAAAUUCCCUGGGUUAAGUUAAGGAAUUGUUCUUAAAGUUAGGAAGUAGGGAAAUGUGAAUCAUUGCUGGAGAGUGAGUUAGUGUACCUGCCUACGUAUUAAAUUAAAUUUUAUUGAAUUAAUUUAUGAGAAAGUGUAUUGUGUUAAGGAUAAUGGAAGUGAGUUAUUUUUUUAAAAUUGGUUUUUGAGUAAAGUAUUUUAAGUAAUAAAGUUAAAUAAUAGAGUGAGUGGGGACAGUUAUGAUUGAGUAUUUUUGAAUUUAUUUUGUUUUUUCUACUUGGAAUGUAAUGUUUUGAUUUGUUCUCUCAACAUAAGUAAAAUUUAAAUAAGUUUUUUUUAUACGAUACAUUUGUUGACACAAGUAAUAAAGCAUUUUUAUUUAUUUACAAUUUUAUUUUAACUACACGAAAAUUUGUAUUUAGCUUUGUGAUACAGAGAAUUUUUUUUUCUUAAAUGAAUUGUUUUGUUUGUGCUCGAUUCUUAUGGGUUUUGUGAAAGUAGUGUUACAGUAAUCAGUUCAGUGGUGACCUGGGACUGACUUCACGACUGAGAAGACUGAGCAUGGUGUUGCUGGCUGCACAUCAGAGUGAAUCUGAUGGCACCACCAGUAGCUGUUGUUUCGAGGUGUUGCUGUUUUCACCAGACGAGACCAACCAGCUGCUUGCUGCCUACAGCAUAGCAGAUGUUAAGUUUCACUGGGGAGACAUCCCCGAUGACAUGCUGCGAGGAAGGCAGGCUGAGGGCAGAACUGCUCUGAAGGCUGGAUCCUGGGUGUGAGCUGCAGAUCACACUUCAAGGACUCUUCUCUCCAGCUUCAACUAGGGCUGAUCUGUCCACGGUUCAUGCCUCUCCUAGUUGUAUGUCGUACGAGUAGUUUUACGAUGUGCCAGCCACCAUCGAUUCUUACAGGAAAGAAUUGUUUCCUGGGCUAUUUUGUAUUUUGUAUUGGUUUAACUUUUUCAGUUUAGACUUUGGAAUUAAUUGUUGUGGUAAAACCUAACCUUCGUGCGCUGUCUUGUUCUAGUAGGCAUUUAACUUGUAAUUCUUUGCCCCUUGUUUUUUCAUUGUUAGGAAUUUUUUUUUAUGGCUUGUGGGGCACAAGCCCUUACAGACCGGGGUAAUGUCGCGGUCUGGAAAUUUCAUUACUUUUUUUUCUUAAAUUUAGUUUACUUUUGUUAACGUGUUGGUGUACGUGCGCGUUUCCAGGCUCGGCCGGUUGAUUUCGACACGCGGGUAUGGGAAUAUAGGUUACUGCGAUAGAAGUUUGCAAGCGCCGCGGGCUUUUGCGAGGCUGCGUGGGUUGCUAAUUCUCGUGGGUCGCUGGCCAGGGCCUGCUGAGAGGUUGCAACACGCCGUUCCAGAAAAACCCGCUGCGCUACGCUAGUCUCUUGUUUGUCGUUCUGUGUGUUCUGCCACGCGAGGCUUUUGUGUACUCGUUUCGAGGACUCUGUCCUGAUUAGUGAUGCCAUCUUGCGUCCAAGUUUGGAAACGUAGACGGAAAAUUAACAAUCGAGCAGCGCAAGAGGGAGAGGGGGAAACUCGCUCGCGCCUGCGCAGAAGGAAUAGCUGUCUUCACUUGUUUUUCAUUUUUUCCUUGUGGGAAGGGAGGGGACCGCGAGUUGCCCUGUGGAUAAGUUUUCCCGGUGUUCGUAUUUUUUUUUUUUCCGGCUUGGCCCAGUUUUGUAGUUAAAACCUCCUUCCAGGGAGGGGCCGAGGCUUUUUGCCUGGGGACCUCUCUGGAAGCCGGGUCCACGUCGGUUUGAAACAACUUUGCUUCGCCUCAAGUCAGAGGGUAAGUGGUUGGCCAUGGCUCGUUCGCCACGACCAUUUCUUGGACGAUCUUCGUCUUAAUCUUUCAAGUAAUAAUGUAGUAUUAUUCCAUCCCUAUUAUUUAUUAUUUGGUUUUGGGAAAAAUCGACGUCUGGUUAUAAACAUGUAGGUAGUGGUAACUGGGAAGUAUACUAUUCUUCCGCGGAGCUGCGAUGACGAGAGAACCGCCAUGUUGUAGUGAUAAUUGUUUGCCGGCGGACGUCACUUUAAUAUGUAUUUAAGGUAUUUAUUUAUUCGUGAAUCUACGUGAUAAAUUAUUAUUUAUGAAUUCUCCUGUUAACCUUUUUUUUGUUUUAUUUCUCAGAGUUUGUUUAUUGUGCUUCUCAUAUUUGGAUUAGUAAAUAAAAUCUGUGCUUGAAUGAA